GCUGGGAUGGCGGAACUGGUAUACGCGCAGGGUUUAGGACCCUGUGAGUGCAAACUCGUGGGAGUUCGAUUCUCCCUCCCAGCACCA
rnacentral:tRNA from 1 species